AUGACUUUAAAUAGUAUUGAACCCACUAUCUCGGAUUUCAAGGAAUUUGAUUAUGAUAAUUGUUCUUUAAAAGGUCGUAUUUCCUUGUUGCAAUCCAUUGUUAAUUCUCCACAUGCUUAUAGUCAAAAUAAAGCUUUUACCAAACAUAUUGUUGAUGCCUUGAUGCAAUCUUAUGAUGAAAAACUUAAUUUGGAAGUUUCUAUACCUAGAAAACGUAAUGAUGAGUGGGAACCUACUAUAAAUAUUAGAAUUAAAGAUCAUGAGUGUUUUGCUUUGUGUGAUUUGGGUGCUAGUGUUUCCACGAUUCCGAAAACUUUAUGUGAUAUUCUAGGCUUCCAUGAUCUUGAUGAUUGCUCGUUAAAUUUGCACCUUGUGGAUUCCACCAUUAAAAAGCCAAUGGGAAGGAUCAAUGAUGUUCUAAUUGUUGUAAAUAUAAAUUUUGUGCCCGUUGAUUUUAUCGUUCUUGAUAUAGAUUGCAAUCUUUCUUGCCCUAUUAUUCUUGGUAGACCUUUCCUUAGAACGAUUGGCGCGAUUAUUGAUAUGAAGGAAGGGAAUAUUAGAUUCCAAUUUCCACUAAAGAAAGGCAUGGAACACUUUCCAAGAAAGAAAGUCAAAUUACCUUAUGAAUCUAUCAUGCGGGCUACUUAUGAAUCAAGUGCCAAAGAUGGCACUCGUUAG
rnacentral:rRNA from 1 species